rnacentral:rRNA from 1 species
UGUGAGACAAGUGGAACCGUCUGGAAAGUCGGGCCGUAGCGGGUGACAGCCCCGUACACGUAAUGCGCACACAAGUCCUAGAGUAAGGCGGGACACGUGAAAUCCUGUCUGAACAUGGGGAGACCACUCUCCAAGCCUAAGUACUCGUGCAUGACCGAUAGCGAACUAGUACCGUGAGGGAAAGGUGAAAAGCACCCCGACAAGGGGAGUGAAACAGAUCCUGAAAUCGGAAGCCUACAAGCAGUCGGAGCCACCAAGCGUGGUGACGGCGUACCUUUUGUAUAAUGGGUCAGCGACUUAGUGUGACGAGCAAGCUUAAACCGAUAGGUGUAGGCGCAGCGAAAGCGAGUCUGAAUAGGGCGAUCGAGUUCGUGGCAUGACGACCCGAAACCAGGUGAUCUAUCCAUGAGCAGGUUGAAGGCUGGGUAACACCAGCUGGAGGACCGAACCCAUAU